rnacentral:rRNA from 1 species
ACACGUAAGCAACCUACCCUAAAGACGAGGAUAACCAUUGGAAACAGUGGCUAAGACUGGAUAGGAAGAUAAAAGGCAUCUUUUAUCUUUUAAAAGACCUAGUAAUAGGUAUGCUUUAGGAGGGGCUUGCGCCAUAUUAGUUAGUUGGUAGGGUAAUGGCCUACCAAGACGAUGAUGUGUAGCUGGACUGAGAGGUUGAACAGCCACAUUGGGACUGAGACACGGCCCAAACUCCUACGGGAGGCAGCAGUAGGGAAUUUUCGGCAAUGGAGGAAACUCUGACCGAGCAACGCCGCGUGAAUGACGAAGUACUUCGGUAUGUAAAGUUCUUUUAUCAAGGAAGAAAAGCAAAUGGCGAACCAUUUGUUUGCCGGUACUUGAUGAAUAAGCCCCGGCUAAUUAUGUGCCAGCAGCCGCGGUAAGACAUAAGGGGCAAGUGUUAUCCGGAAUUAUUGGGCGUAAAGGGUGCGUAGGCGGUCUAGUAAGUCAGUGGUGUAAUGGCAACGCUUAACGUUGUCCGGCUAUUGAAACUGCUAAACUUGAGUUAGAUAGAGGCGAGUGGAAUUCCAUGUGUAGCGGUAAAAUGCGUAAAUAUAUGGAGGAACACCAGAGGCGUAGGCGGCUCGCUGGGUCUUAACUGACGCUGAGGCACGAAAGCGUGGGGAGCAAACAGGAUUAGAUACCCUGGUAGUCCACGCCGUAAACGAUGAGUACUAAGUGUCGGGUUAAACCGGUACUGAAGUUAACACAUUAAGUACUCCGCCUGAGUAGUACGUACGCAAGUAUGAAACUUAAAGGAAUUGACGGGACUCCGCACAAGCGGUGGAUCAUGUUGUUUAAUUCGAAGAUACCCGAAAAACCUUACCAGGUCUUGACAUGUUUUUGCAAAAUGAUAGUAAUAUCGUGGAGGUUACCAGAAACACAGGUGGUGCAUGGUUGUCGUCAGCUCGUGUCGUGAGAUGUUAGGUUAAGUCCUAAAACGAGCGAAACCCUUAUCGUUAGUUGCCAGCACGUUAUGGUGGGGACUUUAACGAGACUGCCAAUGAUAAAUUGGAGGAAGGUGAGGAUCACGUCAAAUCAGCAUGCCCCUUAUGACCUGGGCUACAAACGUGAUACAAUGGCUGUUACAAAGGGUAGCUGAAACGCAAGUUCUUGGCCAAUCCCCAAAAACAGUCCCAGUCCGGAUUGAAGUCUGCAACUCGACUUCAUGAAGUUGGAAUCGCUAGUAAUCGCGAAUCAGCAUGUCGCGGUGAAUACGUUCUCGGGGUUUGUACACACCGCCCGUCAAACCACGAAAGUUGGCAAUACCCCAAAACGGUAGCCUAACUC